UACAGAGGUCUCAAGCGUUGUUCGGAUUCAUUGGGCGUAAAGGGUGUGUAGGUGGCGCGCUAAGUCGGGUGUGAAAUUUCGGAGCUUAACUCCGAAACUGCAUUCGAUACUGGCGUGCUUGAGGACUGGAGAGGAGACUGGAAUUCAUGGUGUAGCAGUGAAAUGCGCAGAUAUCAGGAGGAACACCGGUGGCGAAGGCGGAUCUCUGGGCCUUACCUGACGCUCGAGGCGCGAAAGCUAGGGGAGCGAACUGG
rnacentral:rRNA from 1 species